GAGAGAAAUGUAUGUGAUUGGAAUCUAAAGGAAAAUUGAAUAUAAAGAACUGAUUUCUUAAUCUGAAUAAAAGAUUAUAGGAAUGGAACGAAUACAAGACUCUUCUCUCAACUCAAUUUUUGCCUGCCUUAACCGACUCCAUUUCCUUCUUAUUUAAAGCCUCUCAUUAACUACUUUUCCCUCCUAUUUGUUGCGUAACAGAAUGCUGUUAGCCUACUUUCUUCCUUCCAGUUGCUUCCUGUUUCUUCUAGAAUAUGUCACCCGGAUAGGAGGCCUAUCAUUACCCCCGGCUACAAGUACCACCUUGUCCUCAAGGUGAAAGUCAGGAAAAGAUUGACCGAUAGUUUUGACUGAUUCCCGUGAAGCUUCUGAGGCUAGUAAGUCCUUCCAUUUAAUCAGAACUUCCUUAUUUGUUUCUUGUCCUUUCCUGGUCUGUCGGACUUCUAGUACUUGAUCAGGUUCCACUACCCAUUCCAGAUAGGCAUCCAAUUGUGGAGGAAGUUGUUGACUAGCUAUUGCUGGACCAAGUGCUUUCUUGAGCUUCGAAGCAUGAAAGACAGGGUGAAUUGUAGCUGAUGGUGGAAGCUCGAGAUGAUAAACAACUGGUCCUACUCGCUUGAUGACUUUAUAAGGGUCGAAGUACCGAGGCCCCGACUUUUCGUUGGAUUUCUUAGAUAAUGAUCGAAGGCGAUAAGGCCGAAGCUUUACAUAUACCAGGUCGCCUUCCUCAAACUGGAUGUCUCUUCGAUGUUGAUCCACAAUUUUCUUCAUCCUUGCUUGAGCCCGAAGAAGGUGGGCCUUCAAUUCAUCAAGUUUGUUGUCUCUCUCUGAAAGUUGCUACUCAACUGAGGCUACACCUGUAUUUUGGGUGCCAUAUCGCAUUAAUGGGAAAGGUUCUCUCCCGUAGAUGGCACGGAAACGAGUAGUGUUGGUAGAAGCAUGGAAAGUGGUGUUGUACCAAUAUUCGGCCCAUGGCAGCGACUUGUGCCAACUUUGGGGUUUAUCAUAAGCAAAACAUCGUAAGUACACUUCCACACACUUGUUAACUACCCCCGUCUACCCAUCCGUUUGCAGAUGGUAGGCCGUGCUUCUUCGUAAGAAGGUUUCUUGUAGUCGGAACAACUCAGUCCAAAAAUGGCUUAAGAAGACUUUAUCACGAUCUGAGACAAUGGAGCGGGGGAUCCCAUGGAGUCUCACUACCUCCUUUACAAAAAUAGUAGCCACCCUCGAUGCUGUGAAAGGAUGUUUAAGGGCCACAAAAUGUGCAUACUUACUGAGACGAUCUACCACUACCAAUAAGGAAUCAAAACCCCAGACUUUGGCAGUCCCUCGAUGAAGUCCAUGGAUAUAUCUUCCCAAACCAAGUGAGGGAUGGGUAGGGGUUUCAGGAGGCCUGCGGGUGAGAGGUCCAUAUUUUUGUUCAAUUGACAUACGGGACACUCUUCCACAAAUUUCUGUAUGUCCCUUUUCAUCCCAGUCCAAUACAAAUCCCCUGCUAUCCUCUUGUAUGUCCGCAAAAAAUCGGAAUGCCCUCCUACUGAGCUGUUAUGAAACUCCAGUAGCAAGGUAGGAAUUAAAGUAGAAGAAUGAGGAAGGAUCAGGCGUCCCUUGUACAGUAACCUACCUUGAUUGAGCGUGUAUCUUGGAUGAGAAUCCGAAUCAUAUAGCAGGUCCUUUUUAAUCUGGGACAGCUGUGGGUCCUUGUCCACUUGUUCGGCUAUCAGUUGCACAUCCAGCGCCGGAGAGAAUGUGAUUGCCGCUAACUCAACUGUGGUCGAGAUGCGGGAUAGGGCAUCGGCAACCUUGUUUUCAAGCCCAAGCCGGUAUUGGAUUUCAAAUUCGUACCCCAUCAACUUAGUCAACAACUGCUAGAAUUCCCCAGGCACAAUCCUCUGUUCUAACAAGUACUUCAGGCUGCGUUGAUCUGUUCGAACUAUAAACCGGUGUCCUAGUAAAUAAUGUCUCCACUUCUGUAUUGUGAGCACUAUAGCCAUCAAUUCCUUUUCAUAAACUGACUUUUGUUGAGCUCUACUAGACAAUACUUGGCUGUAGUAAGCAAUCGAUUUUUGGUCCUGUGUCAGUACCACCCCCAAACCAUACCUCGAAGCAUCAGUUUCCAACACGAAGACUUUCGAGAAAUUAGGUAAUGCAAGGACUGGGACUAUUGUCAUGGCUGUCUUCAGCCGUUGGAAAGCUGCUUCGGUCUCUGGUGACCACACAAAGGCAUCUUUUUUAAGCAACUGUGUGAGUGGCAAGGAUAUCUUUCCAUAUCCUGCGACGAAGCGACAGUAGUAGCCUGUUAGCCCCAAGAACCCUCGCAGCUCUCUGAGGUUCUGGGGUGAAGGCCAUUGCACCAUAGCCUCACCGCUGACACCAAAUGGCCCAAGUACUCAACUUGCAGUUGACUAAACGAACACUUCUUGGCGUUGGCGUACAAUUGGUUUUCUGAUAAUGUCUGAAACACUAUUUCUAAGUGCUGCUCAUGGGCUGCUAGGUCUUUUUUGUACACCAGUAUAUCGUCAAAAAAUACCAAUACAAUGAUUUAAACACCAAAGCACAAUUGCAAAUACUAAAAACUUGAAGAACAUAAAGAAUGAAUAUGAAUAGGCAUUUAAAGACUUUGAUCUUUGAUUUUGGAAGUAAUAUGAAACCUUGAUGUUUUGUGAUAUUUUGCCUUCAAUAUGGAUCAACU
rnacentral:lncRNA from 1 species